rnacentral:rRNA from 1 species
AGUGAACGCUGGCGGUAGGCCUAACACAUGCAAGUCGAACGGCAGCACAGUAAGAGCUUGCUCUUACGGGUGGCGAGUGGCGGACGGGUGAGGAAUACAUCGGAAUCUACUUUUUCGUGGGGGAUAACGUAGGGAAACUUACGCUAAUACCGCAUACGACCUACGUGUGAAAGCAGGGGAUCUUCGGACCUUGCGCGAUUGAAUGAGCCGAUGUCGGAUUAGCUAGUUGGCGGGGUAAAGGCCCACCAAGGCGACGAUCCGUAGCUGGUCUGAGAGGAUGAUCAGCCACACUGGAACUGGGAGACGGUCCAGACUCCGACGGGGGGCAGCAGUGGGGAAUAUUGGACGAUGGGCGCAAGCCUGAUCCAGCCAUACCGCGUGGGUGAAGAAGGCGUUCGGGUUGUAAAGUCCUUUUGUUGGGAAAGAAAAGCAGCAGGUUAAUACCCCGCUGUUCUGACGGUACCCAAAGAAUAAGCACCGGCUAACUUCGUG